rnacentral:lncRNA from 12 species
CCCCUCUAAGUCAUUCAUUGUUCUCCUGACAAUGAAGGAUGCCUUAACAGCCGUCACCUCAGUCUGGCUUUGAUACAAAGAUUGUUCGUGUCUUUAUGCUGGACAUUAGUGAAGGCCAGGCUACUGUGGGUAUAUCUGGAGGAAAACAGUGACAGUUCCACCAACUCUUUCCAUCUGACAAAUCUUCAUCCAACAUGGAAGUGGUCUAUCUCCUAGUUUGAAGAACAGGAAAAUUCUGCUGUAGUUUUAAUUGUGAAUUGACACAGAAGUCACAUCCUUUUCUCAAACCAUAUCCACUUCUGCCUGCUUCGAAGGAGAGGGUACAAAACAGUGAGGAAGCAGAGGCUGGUGCUGUUAGACUUGGAAGCAGCAUUGCAUAGGCUCUCCUACAGACAGCCAUGUAGAUCUAGUCCCAGUCCUGCCCUGAAUGUCUAAUAUAGACAGGUCCACCAGUCCUCAAGUAAGAGGCAGACAGAGAACUUCUUCCUUAUAAAGAAAUAAAAACGAUGCAAACAGCUCCAGUGUGACUACUCAAGGAACAGCUCACCUGUUUGAGAAGGAAAUCCCUAAUUCAGCCACAUACUGAAAGCAAUCAGGUAAGCAAG